AAAGGCUGUGACCUGGUUCAAGUAAUCCAGGAUAGGCUGUGUGCAAUCUAAUUGGCCUAUUCUUGGUUACUUGCACUGGGAGGCAACCACAAC
rnacentral:miRNA from 1 species